rnacentral:tRNA from 1 species
GCGGGUAUCGCCAAGUGGUAAGGCAUUAGCUUCCCAAGCUAAUAUUCACGGGUUCGAAUCCCGUUACCCGCUCCA